GCAUAUAUCACAUUUUCCCAUAUCUUCCACAGUUAUAACUGAGGUGUUCCCAGUGUAAGAAGUGAGACAUCUUAGAUGCUGACAUUUCUAGAUCAAUCCAAAUUGUAGUUCUUGUUGAUCAGUUCUGUGGAUUUGAUCUUCGAAAAUGCUGCAUCUUCCAUAAGCAAGGACCAAAGAGAUUUUGACUGCAGGUGGUGGACAUGUGGACAACAGGACCCUAGGCACCUUCUGAAGUGAUCCCAUCCCCAGCAUCACCCAGAUGCUGUCUCGUUUCCCCCUCUGAGAAGCUUGCUGCGUCUCUUUCUCAAAAGGGCACGGCUUUCCUAGAACUGACCUGCUUGCCGGCAAGUAAUUGCCUGGACUGUGACAUGCUUCUCUGUGCUCUGAAUAUAUGUCAUGUGAUUUCUUCUAUUGUCUUCUUGACCCUGUUGCAUUUUGGGGGGUGGGGGUUGGAAAAAUCCGUGUUUUACUUUACAAAUGGGAGUGAGCGAUGGGGGUGGGAAAUGUGAUUGUGUAACCUGUAGACACCACCUUGGUGAUCCCCCGCCCCCACCCCACGAUAGUGAGGCUUUCUCACAAGCUACGUGCCUCCCAUGGGCCAUUUUGGUAUCCUUUGUUCUGAACUGGAGCCCACUGUUUUUUGUAUUUUGUGGGGUUUUUUUAGAGGUAGCCCUAACGGGAUCCCCUUAAUAUUUGUGUUCCCACAAUAAGCGAUUGAUUGUUUUCCCUGUUUAGUGAGCCUGCUACGUUGCAUUUUAGACCAGGAGUUGGCCUUGAGCAACUCUUCCCCAGUGCCCCACCCAUAGACCUGAGUGCCACCACCACUUCCGUUGUGUUAAGGGGGAGCCAAGACCAUUGCCCUGGCAUUUUGAACCGUGGUGAUACCAUCUUGUAGAUUACCGGUUCCUUGGUAUCCCUGGAGUUGUCUUUGGGGUCCACGUGAACACCGCAGGGUACCGGUUCAAGGUCAAAUCUCCAUGGCCCUUCAUUUUCAUGGGUUGUCCGUGUCACCUCCAUGGGUGGAAUGGAGAUGGCGGAGUUUAUUGUCUGUUUUCAUUGUCUUGUUCCUGGAACAUAAACUCCUCCAUCUCGAGGGAACACCUAACUCCAACGCCCAACUUAUCUCAGUAACAGCUUUACGCCUCGUUCAUUGAAACGGGGCAGCCAAGAAUGAAUGGGUUAAAAAAAAAAAAAAAAGAACGAAUGGGUUAUUACCCAAUUUAAAGUCGCCUGUGGUCAUUCGUUGUCCACCUUCUAUUUCUAGUUCCUAGGGGUGGACAGUAGUUAACCAUUUGUGGCAUAGUGGUCAAGUAACUGCUCUCGGCUUAUCUAAGUUUAUGUUGGGUUUAUUUCACAAAUACGCCAUUGUGUGAUGGUCUAUGUUUGGCCACUUUUUUAUGUUUUUUAAGUAUAUUGUGGACAUAUUCUCAAACUGAUAAAUCUCCUUUCCCUAUGGACAUUGUAUUGGAUGUAGUGCAUAUCACAAUGGGUUCAUCCAUUUCCCUGCUUUGGGACACGUCGGUUACCUGUGUUUCUUUGUUUUUUGCCACUGCAUAUAAUGUUGUAAUGUAUAUAAUUAUAGAUCUAUAUUAAUGCGCUCGUGCUCCUAAUUCUCUUAGAACAGACUUCUAGAUGUGACAUUGUUGGACCCUUAGUUCUGCAUGCUUUUGAUUUCGGUAGAUAUUGUGAAAUUGCCCUUGAAAUUUUUCCCAGGCCUGCACACAGCUGUGGUGCGAUGGCUGUGCUGAUUUUCAUACAGACGUGGACAUAAUGGGUAUCAGCCAAUCUAAUAGGUGAAAAAUAUUAAGCCCACUUUUUAAACAGUAAAUGGCCCUAGAUAAAAUAGACCCAAUAGUGACAGGUGAUUUAUUAACCAACUAACAAACAAUAAGCCCAUCUUUUUCCUCUAGUCCCAAGACUUAUCCUGGUUGUCAGAGGUAAAAUGCAUUAUCCUUUUCAAAAUACGAUGCUUCUUGCAAUUUCAUAAACUUCCUACGUAUGCCUUAUGCCAGUGUUGAUUUCUUUGACUCUUUAGUUUGGAAAUCUAGAUUUAGAGUUUCAAGAAUCAUACAAAAGAACCACCCCCAUAGACUGCACCUCGGUUUUUUCUACUGUGUUGUGUUCUCUUUCUCUUACUUUCCCUCCAACUUAUAUAUCUAUAUAUAUUUUGUAAUCCUCACCCGAGGAUAUUU